GGGUCGUUAGCUCAGUUGGUAGAGCAGUUGACUUUUAAUCAAUUGGUCGCAGGUUCGAAUCCUGCACGAC
rnacentral:tRNA from 4 species